UUUACAGCAGAAUGUAAGUUCUGCAUGUGAAGUAUUUAAGUCAUGUCUUGUUUUUGUGUCGUUACUGGCAUUCUGUGUGACCACGUCUUGAAGUGAAAUCGUGGAGAAAAGCAUCGUCUGCCAAGCUGUAGAGACGGCGUUAAUCGCACAUAAUGUGUGACAAGGCCAAGGGUUGUAGAGAGCUCUCACAGCACUGGGGUUCUUUUCAGUAAGGCUGCAGGCUGUGGGCCGAAGGAUGAGAGAAAUAAGCACCUGCCUUGGAUUUUCAUACAGAUAUGGAAUGAAGGGGCAUUUCAUAGCGAAUGGAUGAAGAGAAGAGACCUCCAUCCUGUGACCACUUCGCUUCCUGACCUCUGGUGGCAGCUGCAGGCAUGAAGCACUAACAGGAACACGGGAU